UGGAGCCACUCUCCGCAGUUUUCCAUUGGGUAUUGCCAACAGUGCCCAAAUAAGGUUACUUGGCCUGCUGAAAUGGGGUCCCCUCCUCCUUUGUAUUUCAAUGCUGGAAUGUGUGUGUUUGAGCCCAGCAGAUUGACUUAUGAAAGCCUUCUUGAAGCUCUGAAAAUUACUCCACCAACACCAUUUGCAGAACAGGUGAGCCAGUUGAUUAUGGCAUGUUGAUUUUUUGGUGAGUUGAAUGGUAAAAUUUCUUGGAACACUUUUAUAAAAAUUAUGCAGUGUAAGGUGAGGUUAAUAAAAAAAAAUAAAAAUGAAUACACUGCGCAUGCUAGGGAGCAUGUUGAGAAUAUAAUUUUAGUAAAUAAAUUUGUUCACACGUAGACGAGAGAGUUCAACCCUAUAUUAUUAUUAUUUUUUAUUUUUACGUCGUAUAGCAAAAUUUAGUCAAGUUAAUUUAUGGGUUUGCAUGGCUUGAGCUUUUUCACUUAGGGUGUGUUUGAUUGGAAAAUUUUCAAUCUAAAUAAGAUGAAAUUGAUUGUAAAGAAUUAAGACUUCAAAUAUUUGACGUGAUACAUCUUUCAAUAAAUCUCAUGGUCAUCGUUGAUUAAUCUGAUUAAUCUUUUCGUUUGUUAUAUAAUUAAAUGAUAGGAUUUUCUGAACAUGUUCUUCCAACAAGUCUACAAACCAAUUCCUCUGGUGUACAACCUUGUUCUAGCUAUGCUUUGGCGCCAUCCUGAGAACGUUGAACUUGAAAAAGUCAAAGUCGUUCACUACUGUGCUGCUGUAAGAAUUGUCUCUACUACAAAACUAUUCCUUAACUAGAGUCGAGAAAAAAUGAUUUAUAUAUUCGACCCUAACGUUGUCAGUAAGAUGACUUAUCCUUUUGUCGUGAUUUACUUAUGUUUAGGGAUCAAAGCCAUGGAGGUAUACUGGCCAAGAAGCCAACAUGGAUAGAGAAGACAUCAAAAUGCUCGUCAAGAAAUGGUGGGACAUUUACGAGGAUGCUUCGCUCGACUUUAAGGCCGAAGAAAGUAGUGCUGCAGAGGAAGAAACCUUCUCAAAACCAUCCAUUUUAGCUGCAAUGCCUGAGCCUGCAGUAUCCUAUAUUCCUGCUCCUUCUGCUGCCUAAGAAGAAGCAAAUUAAGAACUAAUUGAUGUAGCCAAACUAUCUUACUCAAUUUCACUACUUUGGUUUAUAAGUAGGCUACUUGGCCUAUUUUUGGUGUGGGACUCGACUAAAUAUAAGAGAUAGUUUGUUUUAUGUUCGAUUUGGUCAUAUGUACGUAGCAGCAAAGAAAAUGUGCUAAUUUUUCUUCUGCGAUUAAUUAAUAUGAAAUAUCUAAUUUUAGUCUAACAAAAGCAUUCACCGAAACAUGUUAUUGAUACGUCUUCAUUGACAAAUGACGACUUGGUUUAUAUGGUAAUGCGAACUGUAUACAUAUAGCUAAAAUUUUGUCCAUCCCUAAUAUUAAGCUUAUGUUACUCAUCUUAACAAACUUGUCAAUAUAGUAUCAGAACCCCAAAAGAAAAGCUCAAACAAUUUCAAUUUGUCAAAAGUUCAAACGAGCAAUCGAAUUUCAAUAUUGAUGUUUUAAAAUGAGCAACCAUAUUGCAUAUAAAUAUAUUCUUAUGAAAUUGAUCACAUAUGAGUUGUAUACGAAAGCAUUAACCAACAAAUUAGGACGUGUUACUCCUUUUAUAUCAUAUAAAAGAUUGAUAUUUUAAGAUAUGGAACUCUAAAAUGCUAUAUUGCAUACAAAAUGGAUAUUUCUAUAGAAUUGAUGACGAUGACAAAUGUCAAUUAUUGGUAUAUUAUGCAUGUAUACUGUGAUUUCGACGUCUCAAUAGUUGAGCAAUUGUUACAAUUUUUUUGACCUAAAAUUUUUUCAGAUGAAAUUACCAUUGGGCAUCAUAAAAUGGGAAAAAAACAAAGGCGUUUAGAUGCUAAAAUGACAUUCAUGUAGGAGCAAUUUAUAGCCAACAAGCAUACAAAAAGAAUUUCAGUAUCAAACACUGGACCAACUCAAAUGUAUCGUUUUCAAAUUCUGGGGCAAGUGUGUUAUAUGCAUCUUCAAGUCUAACACGUAAGUAUAAUAAAAAGGUUGCAGUCUAGUAAGUUUUCUUCAGGGCAACAUAUUACCCGGUUUACUUGUUGGUCCCAGAGUUGAUAUAAUCUUGAAGUUAAAUGGUUUAUUCUUGAAUAAAAAAAAAUAUUUCAGAAUAAAAUAGCGUAAACAGAAAUAGGAACACAAGAUAUGUUUUGCUCCAAAAUGAAGCCCGGAUGUUCAGUCCAAGGACCUAAUCACCCGUUGAGCCUCAAUUAAGAGAUAUGCUCAAGUUUCCACUAAUUUCACAAAGAAUCAGUACAGGAUGUUCGAAGAAAUGAGGGAUUUCUUCAUCUUUUUCUAGCCUCUAUUUCACACAGAUUUCCUUUCAACAAUAUCACACAGAUCACUCAACAUUACAAUCCUUACUUAAAGGACUUUCAAAAUCACACAGAUUUCGUAUUACAUUUUCAGAGAAAGGAGAGAAACGAAAGAACUCCCACACAGAGAGAAAGACUGAAAGUUCUAGAGAAAAUUAGAGAGAACGCCAAAAGCCAAACGACCAAGGAUCAAGUAAGUAUCAAAACAGUUGGACCGACUUUAUCUAACGGUUGGGGGUGUAUCAUGUGUACGGCACACACCCAACCAUAAGGGGCAGUAAAACGUGAAACCAAAAACGCGAGAAUACAUUAAGUUUGGGCCUCUUGUUUGUUCAAUUUAGUAAGGGCCCAAAGUAGGAAAUAGUGAGGCAGCCCAUCACUUUUAACAUUCUCUACCUUGCUGAACUAUUUCUUUGUUUCACUAGUGGAUUCAAACAUUUGUUGAUUUCAUUUAGCUCUACAGUACUUGAAAAAGAAAAAUUUAAAAGUUAGUAUUAUUCUCAACAAAUGAGUUACUGAAUGUCACCUAAUUUAAUUUAGGUUAUAUCCAGAAUUUUCAAACAGUUCUUAAAUUUGUUAAGUGUCAAAAUUUUUGUUCCAAGGUUAGAGGGAUUAUAUUCUGUACGAAUUUUAAUUAGACCGAUUAACCCUUUUUCAACCAUAUUCCUAACAAAAUGAAAUUUUAUAUCAACAUGCUUUGUCCUAUCAUGAUAAACGGGGUUUUUACUUAAAUGAAUUGCACUUUGAUUAUCAGUAUGAAUGCUAACAGAUUCAUUUACAAAACCAAUUUCAUUUAACUCUCUUUCACAGCAUCAUACUCAGCCUCUGUUGAGGACAAUGCAACUAAUUUUUGCAGUUGAGAUUUCCAACUAAUGCAAGCAUUACACAAAGUAAAAAUACAAGAGGAUGUAGACCUUCUUUUAUCAAGAUCACCAGCAAAAUCUGAAUCAGUGUACCCCUUUCAAAUUAUGCCUUCAUUACUUCUUUUAAACUUUAGUCUCAAGUCAAUUGAGCCUUUCAAGUAUCUCAUCAUCCACUUUAUAGCUAACUAGUGAGUUUCCCCAGGAUUAGCCAUAAACCUACUUAGAAUGCUAAUACCAUGAGCUAAGUCGGGUCUAGUACAAACCAUGAGGUACAUAAUGGAUCCUACAGCAUUAGCACAGGGAAUUUUUUCAUUCUUUUCAAUUUAUCAUUAGACUUAGGUGAUUGAUCACUAGAAAAUUUAAAAUGAUUUGCAAAAGGUAAGGAGAUAGAUUUGCAAUCAGACAUAGAAAAUUUUUCAAGUAUUUUCUAUAUAUAUGCAGAUUGUUUUAAAAUUAGGGUACAACUAGAUCUAUCCCUUUCUAUUUCCAUACCAAGAAUUCUUUUGGGUGGACCUAAAUCUUUCAUUUCAAAUUCAGAUUUUAGCUUUGAUUUAACAAAUUCAAUUUCAGAUUUAUCAUGACAGGCAAGUAACAUAUCAUCUACAUACAAUAACAGAUAUAUAGAUUCAUGUCCUCCUGACCCUUUGAGAAAUAAAUCAGGAGUCAUAGCUACUUUUCUCAAAACCCAUGGUCUGAACAUAUGAAUUAAACUUCAGGUACCACUGUCUGGGAGCCUGUUUCAGCCCAUAAAGGGAUUUUUUUAACAAACAAACCUUUUUAGUUUUGGACUUUACUUCAUAGCCCUUCGGUUGAUUCAUGUAUAUGACUUCAUCAAGGUCAACAUUUAGGAAAGCUGUUUUAACAUCAAGUUGUUCCAAUUCCCAGUCAAAGUGGGCAGUCAAGGCCAAUAAAAUUCUGAUUGAGGUAUAUUUGGCAACUGGUAAAAAGAUCUCAUUAAAAUCUAUUUCCUCCCUUUGGGUAAAACCUUUUGCCACUAACCUGGCCUUAUAUCUUUUAUUUUCUGUUUUGGCGUCUCCUUGUUUUAUUUUAAAAAUCCAUUUACAGUCAACUACCCUUUUAUCUUUAGAUUUGUUGAAAAGAACCCAGGUUUUAUUUUGGAUUAAAGAAUCCAUUUCCUCAUUCAUAGCUUCCUUCCAAAGCUUAGAGUCAGGACUAUUUGUUGCUUCUUCAAAAUUUUCGGGUUCAAAAUUUAAGGAGUCUAAAACAAAAAACAUGGCGACAAAGUCAUUAUUACUGAAUAUGUUAGAAGGUAUUAUGUUUCUUCUUUCUCUAUCCCUUGUAAGUUGAUAAUCAGCAAGUGAUGGGUUUAAUGAUUCAGUCUCAGAUUCUGAAUCAUUAUGAUUAUUAUCAUUACUAGAUUGAGUAGACUCCAGCUCAAUCAAAUCAUGUUGAUCUAUAUCAGUUCCAGUUUGAUCUUCCACUAAGUUUUCUCUCACAAGUGAAGAUUCUCUAGAUUUAGGAAUUAAUGAACUAUUAUAAGGAAAUAUAUUUUCAUUGAAGAUGACAUUCCUGUUUAAUAUAACCUUGUAACCAUGUUGCUCUUUAACCCAAAGUCUAUAAACCUUGGUUUCCUCCCCAUAACCCAGAAAAAUACAUUUUAAGGAUCUAAGUUCUAAUUUUCCUUCAUUUGAAUGUGAAUAAGCAGCACAACCAAACACCUUGAGUUUACUAUAAUCUGGCAUUUUUCCUGACCACAGUUUUUCAGGAAUGUUGAAAUCAACAGCACUAGAUGGACUUCUAUUUAUGAAAUAAUUUACAGUUUUUAGGGCUUCUCCCCAAAAAAGUUUUGGAAGACUAGAACUGUGAAGCAUACACCUAACUCUUUCCAAUAGAGUUCAUUUAUUCUUUCAACAACUCCAUUUUGUUGAGUAGUGUAAGUCACAGUUCUGUGUCUUAAGAUUCCAAAUUCUUUACAAAAAAAAAUAAAAUUAAAUUCAGAAUUACAGAUUCGAGUCCAUUAUCUGUUCUAAAUGCUUUGAUUUUCUUAUUUGUUUGAUUUUCAGUCAUCAAUUUCCAAUGUUUAAAAUUUUGAAAAGUGUCAGAUUUUUGUUUUAAAAGAAAGGUCUAUAUUUUUCUUGAAAAAUCAUCUACUAUUAGUAGAUAAAAUAUAUAUCCACUUAGAGUAUUUACAGUGGCUGUCCCCAAAGAUCAGCAUGUAAAUAGUCUAAGAUAGAGGUGGAUUUGUGAAGUCUAGCUUUGAAGGGCAUUUUUGUUUGUUUUCCAAUUAUACAGUCUUCACAGAAAUCUAACUUUUCAAUGUUAUCAUUCCCAAGGCAUCCAAGUUUGUUUAAGGAAAUUAAUCCCUUUUCAGAAAUGUGGCCAAGCCUUCUGUGCCAUAUUAAGGUUUUGUUUAAGGAAGUGUUCAAAGCAGUAGCACUGUGAUCUACUAAAGGUUCAAGACAAAUGGUAUAGAUACCAUUUAUCUUAGGAGAGGAAAUAAUAUUUCUGUUAACAAGGUUAAGUCUUAAGAAACCUUUGUGGAUUAUGAUGUUAUAGUUAUCAUCUAAUUCUCCCAAAGAGAUUAGAUUUCUUUUGAGUUCAGGAACAAAUCUAGUAUUUGUCAGUUCAAGAAUACAAUUGUUGCUCAACAGUAAUUUCAGUUUCCCUAUUCCUUUAAUUUGACAACUAAUGUCAUUUCCCAUUUGAAUCUUCCCCCCAUCAAGUUCAACAAAUUCAGAGAACCAAUCUCUAAUGGGGCACAUGUGGAAGGUACAACCAGAAUCAAGAACCCAUUCUUUUGAAUCCCUCCUAGUAGUAUUUACAAAGACAACCCAUGUAUAUCAGAGUCAUGGGUGCAAGCAAUUGUUGCAGACCUAUUGGCAUUAUUCUUUUCUUUUGAGUCAGACAUUUUCUUAAAACAGUCUUUUAUUAGAUGUCCUGUCUUCCCACAGUAAUAGCACUUCCUAACUUGAUUCUUGUUCUUCACUUGAUUCAUGCUUUUAUUCUUAAAUUUUUGAUUCACAUAUUUUAGGAGGUAAAAUUGCACUGAUUUAUCUUUUUACCCCGAGGAGGUUUUUCUUUAAUAUGUAGGCCCUCACCACCCUUAGUUUGAUUAAAGUCAAGUUGUAGUUCAAGAUCUUUAUUCCUUAAGGCAGUGGUUAUUAUGUCAACAGUAAGAUCCUCUCUCCCAUAUUCUAGGGCAUUUCUAACAUCCCUAUAUUUCUCACUUAGAGAAUAUAAUAGGCCAACAACCUGUUGUUGAUCAGAAAGUUCUUCAUCACAAUUUGCUAAAUCUUGAGUUAGUUUUGUAUAUUUGUCAAUGUUGUCUUCUAAACUGCUAGAGGGAUCAAACCUAAAGUUAUAGAACUGUCUUAAGAGAUAACACUUAUUUGGCAUUGUUUUGGUUAAGCAUAGAGUUCCUAAUUUUGUCCACAAUGCAUCAGUAAUAGUAGUUUCACCUACUUUUCUUAUUACACUAUCAGAUAGGUGCAGAAAAAUGGUGCUCCAGGCAAUCUCAGUUAGUUCUAGUCUCCUAUAAGUACUAAUCUCAGCAGCCCAAGUGCCAUCAAGUGCACCAGCACAUCUCUGUUGCACGAACAGAGCUCUCAUUUUCUGGCGCCAGAGACUAAAGUCUCCAGUGCCAUUCCAAAUUUCAACAUCAAAUUUUUGAGUAGAAGACAUAUUGACAGAUUAUUUUCAAAACUAUAACAAUGCAGCACACAUUGUAUUGUAAUACAAGUUGUGAAUACAAUGAUCAAUAACUAAAAACAGGAUUAAUGUGCACUUAUUUAAUAGCCUAAGGAGUGGUAAUCCUGGUUUCCACUAUCCCCUCAGAUUCCCAGAUCCUCGCAGGAGAUCUUGGAUAAAGGUGAGUAGAGGCAGAUUACUUACCUUAAUGAUUGGGUCCAAGAAAUUAUUUAAUAUACUGACUAACGAAAUAAAUUUUGGGUUUAUAGGUUACAACAGUCUGAAAUAUUGAUUUCAAAAUAAGAGAUUAAUCAGUAAGUAGCAAGAAAUUGAACCAGAACUCCAAGUCAAACACAAGAACCCUCCGAGUUGCAGUGACUCAAUAUGAACUUAGUGAAACUCGGGUUGAGUCAACUCAGCUCACCCAACUCAGUAUGAGCAGCACCGAUUUUCCAAGAACAGAGUACAUAAACAACAGAUCAAAGCGAGUUAGUGUCGAGUUAUAUCAUAUAUAUCAAGAUUAUUCAAAGGUCAACAAAACUGUAACGAGAUCUUGCAAGAUCUUCAAGAAGAUUUCAGAUCUGACCAAUCAGUUACCAAUCGAAAAAUGAAUCGAGUAAGACAGAAAAAAUUCCAGAGAGUUUUCUUUACAAAUAUAUGAGAACACUUCAAAUCUUGCAAGUUCAGAACGAGAAAAGAUUUUACAAAACACAAAAUUAAAAAAAAAACGCUCUAAUACCACUUGUUGGUCCCAAAGUUGAUAUAAUCUUGAAGUUAAAUGGUUUAUUCUCGAAUCAAAAAAAAUAUUUUAGAAUAAAAUAGCGUAAACAGAAAUAGGAAUACAAGAUAUGUUUUGCUCCAAAAUGGAGCCCAGAUGUUCAGUCCAAGGACCUAAUCAUCCUUUGAGCCCAAUUAAGAGAUAUGCUCGAGUUUCCACUAAUUUUACAAAGAAUCAGUAUAGGAUGUUCGAAGAAAUGAGGGAUUUCUUCAUCUUUUUCUAGCCUCUAUUUUACACAGAUUUCCUUUCAACAAUAUCACACAGAUCACUCAACUUUACAAUCCUUACUCAAAGGACUUUCAAAGUCACACUGAUUUCGUAUUACAUUUUCAGAGAAAGGAGAGAGACGAAAGAACUCCCACACAGAGAGAAAGACUGAAAGUUCCAGAGAAAAUUAGAGAGAACGCCAAAAGCCAGACGACCAAGGGUCAAGUAAGUAUCAAAACAGUUGGACCGACUUUAUCUAACGGUUGGGGGUGUGCCACGGCACACACCCAACCAUAAGAGGCAGUAAAACGUGAAACCAAAAACGCGAGAAUACGUUAAGUUUCGGCUUCUUGUUUGUUCAAUUUAGUAAGGGCCCAAAGUAGGAAAUAGUGAGGCAGCCCAUCACUUUUAACAUUACUUCCGACGAUGCUAUGACGUAUACUUCUAUCAUUUAUUGCAAACUCUUUGUUAAGCAUUGUGCUUAACAUCUUUGGCCCAGUGAUGCAGCCCAAUCUUUGACCUCUUAUAAAGGAGUGUGACCCAGUUAUCUCUCAUUUGGUGCUGUUGGAGGAAAGAGAGGUUUACUAACUUAGAUUGACUAAGGCUUUUAAGGAGGACAACACUAAUAGGAAGAAGGAAGUGAACAAAAGAAAACUUGUAUUUUUCAACUUCAAGACUUACACACUUUUUUGGCUUGUUACAAAUGGAGGGCAAUACUCCUUUUUAUAGUGUUUAUAUGAAACUUCUAGUUCACACAUUUCUUGAGACUCCUAGACCACAUAUUUACAUGAGACUUUUGGAUCACACAUUUGGACAAGAUAUUUCCCUAGAAUUCUCUAGAUAGACUUUAUAAGACCACAUAAUCUUAUUGACAUAUUACCACAUUUAACAUCACAUAUUUUACUUAGAUAUUUACAUGAAUUUUUCUAGUAGAUAUUUAUAUAGAUUUUUCUAGAUAAUGUUUCUAGAAAUACUAGGCAUGUUGGGUUUUUAAAUUGAUUUGGGGCCUAUAGGCAAAGUCCUUAAGCCCAUAUUAUUUAUUCCAAAAAUCAAGUUUACUAGUCAACAUCCCCCCUUAAACUUGAUUUUACUUCUCCAAGUAGAGUUCUUAACUUGCGGAACACGCCAUGCUUGAGUGUCUUAGUGAGAAUGUCAGCGAUCUGCUCCUAGGAGGUUACAUAUUUCAGCUGCACUUCUUUCUUUGCAAUACUUUCUCUUAUGAAAUGAUAUAUUGUAUCAAUGUGCUUGCUUCUAUCCUGGAAUAUUGGAUUCUUUGCCAAUGCCAAUGCCGAUGUGUUAUUAACAUGGAUUUUGGUUGGUUCUUCUUGUGAUACUCCAAGCGUCUUCAACAAGUCUCUAAGCUAAAUCCCAUGGCAGACACUUGAUGUAGUUACAACAUAUUCAGCUUCACAUGUAGAUAGUGCUAUGAUCGAUUGCUUCUUUGAGCUCCAAGUGAAAAUUAUGCUGCCCAAGUAAAACACAUACCCAAUUGUACUCUUUCUAUUAUCACUGUCUUCUCCCCAAUCACUGUCACUAUAUCCAUCAAGUUUGAAUUCAUUAGAUGAUGAAUAAACUAAGCCAUAAUCAAGUGUACCUUUGAUCUAGCAAAGAAUUCUCUUUGCAGUUUUCAUAUGGGUUAUGGUAGGUGUCUCCAUAUAGCGACUGAUGAACCUAACUCCAAAAAGGAUAUCUGGUCUUGUGCAUGUCAAGUAUCUUAGACUUCCAACAAGACUCUUAAAAAAUGUAGGGUUUACUUUUUGACCUUCAUUAUUCUUCGACAACUUGGUUCCGUAUUCGAUGGGGGUGCAUACAAGCUUGCAAUCCUCCAUAUUGAAUUUCUUUAGAAUUUCUUUCGCAUAUCCUACUUGUGAGAUAAAGAUGCAAUCCUUCAUUUACUUUACCUCAACCCUAAGAUAGUAGGCCAUGAAGCCGAUGUCCGUCAUCUUGAAUUCUUGAGCCAUGGCUUUCUUAAACUCAGUAAUCAUACUUUGAUUAUUUCCCAUGAAUAUAAGAUCAACUACAUACAAACAAACAAGCAAAAUAUCUCUUUUCUCAUUUACCUUUGUAUAAAAGGCAUACUCGUGAGGGCAUUUUGUGAAAUUAUUUUCUGGAAAGUAUUUGUCAGUUUUACUAUUUCAUGCCCUUGGAGCCUGUUUCAACCCAUAUAAAGUCUUUUUUAGUUUUAAGACUCUACCUUCAUGUCCUUUUAUCUUAUAGCCAGUUGGUUGCUCCACAUAGAUUUCUUCUUCAAGAUAACCAUUUAGAAAAGUCGAUUUCACGUCCAUUUGAAAUAUCUUCCACUUAUUUUGCGCUGCAAAAGAAAUAAUUAAUCUUAUAGUUUCUAAGUGAGCAACAGAAGCAAAUACCUCUUCACAAUCGAUUCCCGAUUGUUGGUUGUAUCCUUUAGCAACCAAUCUUGCUUUAUAUCUCUCCACUUGUCCUUUAGCAUUUUUCUAUGCUUUGUACACCCACUUAACUCCAAUUGCUCUCUUUCCUUUGGGAAGAGUCAUCAGCUCCCACGUGUCAUUUUUCUGAAUAGCCUUAAUCUCUUCAUCCAUGGCAUCUCUCCAUCUUUUAAUUUGCGCUACUUCUUCAUACCCUAUUGGCUCACAAUCGGCAAAAAGACAAAAGAGUGUGAGAUCAUUUUGAUUUUCUAUUACCUCAUAUAGCUCUUGUAGGCUCCUCAUCUAUGGUAUCCUUUCACUUAAGCUUUCUCCUUGUGAAGAUGAUGGGGAAGCAUCUCCAUGAGUAGGUGAUAGAGGUAGACUGGUAAGCUAUUGCUGCUCUCUAUUCUCUUGUUCUUCUUCCACAAAGAAUGGUAAGAAGUCAUAAUCUUCUUCUUGAACACCCCAAUCCUUAGCUCCUUCUUCAUCAAACUUGACAUCUCUACUUAUAAUGAUCUUCUUCUUGUUUAGAUUAUACAACUUGUAGCCUUUAGAGCGAGAGUCAUAAUCGAUAAAAAUAUACCUUUCGCUUUUAUCAUCUAACUUGGAUCGCUUUUGAUCUGGUAUAUGAGCAUAUGCAAUGCUCCCAAAUACUCAUAAGUGAGAGAUGCUUGGCUUUCUUCCACUCCAUGCUUCUUGUGGUGUCUUAUUACACACACUUCUAGAAGGUGAUCGGUUAGACAGAUAAACAGCGCAAUUAAUAGCUUCGGCCCAAAGUUCUUUGGGUAAUCUCUUACCUUUGAGCAUGCUGCGGGCCAUGUUAAGAAUGGAUUUGUUCUUUCUUUCGACUACUCCAUGUUGUUGUGGAGAGUAUGGAACCGUCAAUGGGCAACGAAUUUCAUUCUCCUCACAAUAUUUCCCAAACUUUUUGGAGGCGAACUCUCUCCUUCUCUAUCCGAUGUCAAGGCUUUUAUACUAUAUUCGCUUUCUUUUUCAACAAGAGCUUUAAACUUCUUCAAAGUUUCAAACACUUCCAAUUUUUGUUUGAAAAAAUAGACCAAAGUCUUUCUACUAAAAUCAUCAAUAAAAAGAACAAAGUAAUUGCUCUUACCGAGAGAGCUUGGAUUAAUUGGCCCACAAACAUCGGAGUGUACAAGUUCUAGUAGCAUCUUAGCUCUUGUAGAUGCUUCUUCUGGAAAAGUUUUCCUCGGAUGCUUUCCAAGUAAACAUCCUUCACAUAAUUGAUCCGCAUGAUUUAUUGGAGGUAAACCUUUCACUAUCUUCUUCUUACACAACAACUUUAAGCCUCCAAAAUUAAGUGCCCAAAUCUCAAGUGCCAAAGUCAAGAUGAAUCUUUAAAACAAGCUUUUAAACAUUUAGUAACAUCAUUUUGAAUGCUUAACGCAAACAUUCUAUUUCUUGUCAUAGGGACUUUGACAAUCAAAUUUUCUCUUUAAUCUCUUAUUGAAAGACUAUGAUCUUUCAAGUGAAUAUCAUAGCCCUUUUCUAAGAGUUGUCCCAAACUUAAAAUGUUAUUCUUUAUAUUGGGUACAUAAUAGACAUUUGAGAUAAAUUGACACGUACCAUUUUUCAAGCGGAUCAAGAUUUUACCUUUUUCUUUCAUUGGGAUCUUGGAUUUAUCUCCAAAGGUAAUGUUGUCUCUUAUUGAUUUAUCAAGCUCUACAAACAUAUUUUUUCUUCUACACAUAUGGUUGCUUGCUCUUGUAUCCAAAUACCAAAUGUUCUUUUCUCUGCUUUCUUCACCUUUGUAAGCCAACAGUAGUGCAGGAUCCACUUUACCGACAAGCAUAGUUUACUUUCUCCUUAACUUGGUUAGUAAUAUUUCUACAUUCUGAAGUAUAAUGACCAAGUUUUUGACAAUUGUAACAUUUAAUUUGAGAUUUGUCAUACCCUGGUCCUUCAUUUUGCCUCGUACAUUUUCCUCUUCCACGAACUCUGGUGGAAAAUGAGCUUUGUCUUCUUUCCUCCUUGUAAAAUGCACUUUUCCCUCGCUCUUGGCCUCGUCCUCUUCCUCUUUGGCUUCUUCUACUGCCGAACCUUCCUUCACCCUCAUUUAAACUGAGCUUUGUUUGAAGAUCUUGCUCUAGUGGCUUUUCUUUUACCUUCUUCUUUAGUCUUUCCUCAUGGGCUUGUAAAGAUCUCAUGAGUUGAUCGAUACUCAUACUAUCUAGAUCUUUAGAUUCCUCAAUGGCUACAACUAUGUAGUCAAAUUUAGAAUCUAAAGACCUAAGUAUCUUCUCAAUUACUUGAGUGUCGUUCAACUUUUCUCCAUUCCUCUUUAAUUGAUUCACAAUAGCCAAUACUCUAGUGAAGUAAUCAGAAAUUGAUUUCGAUUCUUUCAUAUGUAAAGCUUCAAACUCACCUCGAAGUGUUUGGAGUCGAACGUUUUUCACCUUUUCAACUCCUUUGUGGGAAUUUUGCAAGAUCUCUCAUGCUUCCUUAGUAGCACAAGCUACUUUUUCGAACAUGCCUUCAUCUAAGUCUUGACAGAUGAGGGUGAGCGCCUUCUUGUCCUUCUUCCUUGCAUCCUUCAAACUAUCCCUUUGUACUUGGGAUAGAGCGACCUCGUCUUAUGGCUCUGUGUAGCCUUUCCCUAUGAUCUCCCAUGCAUCUUGCGACCCGAGAAAUGCUUUCAUCCUUAUGCUCCAAUUGUUGUGGUUAUCCUUGUUGAGUUGGGGAACUUAAAAAUGAAUCAUCCCACUUGUCAUUUUUCAUAAGAAACUUAGGGCUCUGAUACCAGUUUGUUGGAGGAAAGAGAGGUUUACUAACUUGGAUUGGCUAAGGCUUUUAAGGAGGACAACACCAAUAGGAAGAAGGAAGUGAACAAAAUAAAACUUGUAUUUCUCAACUUCAAGACUUACACACUUUUUUGGCUUGUUACAAAUGGAGGGCACUACCCUUUUUUAUAGUGUUUACAUGAAACUUCUAGUCUACACAUUUCUUGAGACUCCUAGACCACAUAUUUAUAUAAGACUUUUGGACCACACAUUUGGACAAGAUAUUUUUCUAGAAUUCUCUAGAUUGACUUUAUAAGAUCACAUAAUCUUAUUGACACAUUACCACAUUUAACACCACAUAUUUUACUUAGAUAUUUACAUGAAUUUUUCUAGUAGAUAUUUAUAUAAAUUUUUCUAGAUAAUGUUUUUAGAAAUGCUAGGCAUGUUGGGCUUUUAAAUUGAUUUGAGGCCUAUAGGCAAAGUCCUUAAACCCAUAUUAUUUAGUCCAAAAAUCAAGUUUACUACUCAACAGGUGCAUCCUCGUGUUUUUUUGAAACAAGAGUUUAGUGUAUUAAGUGAAAGGCUAAGAUGAUGCCACCUAGAGAUGUUACAACCAUAACAUGCAUUGGGACUUUUUGUAUCAUAUGCUAUGACUCCUCAUUUGCUUCAUUGGUGUGAAGAAGUUCUAGUUUUUUCUUUUCAUUUGUCUUUGUGCUCUCUCUAAGAAAAACCUCUGGUUUUAUCGGUAAUCUAUUGUUUUUCCAAAUGUUCUUGCUGAAAUCUAGGGUAGAUUACUGUAAGGUGAGGUUGAUUCUAUUCUUGGUCGAGUAGUAACCUUUGGUUACUUGGUGUAAUCUUUUAAGGCCAUUUUGAGAGAGAAAAUCGCUCUGAGGGCUAAAUUUGUUGGAUCUUUUGUGUUAAGAUUCUUGUACUGAUAAUCUUUGUUGGCUUCUGCUAGAUUAGAGCGAUAACCUCUUUUACGGACGCUCAACGUGGUGAUUAGCCCUUUUGAGCGAACAUCUAGGCUUUUGGGAAAAAAAUUCUGUGUUCUUUAAUUUUUUGCCAUUAACUCUAGUUUUCUAGGACUAUUAAUACCAACAGUGGUAUCGUGCACUUCGAUCUAUGUUUGGAAACUUUUGAUUUGUCUUUUUUGAUGUUUUUUACGAUAAAAACUAUAGAUCUUUAAAGAUCUAUAAUGAAAGGGACUAAUCAACAUUUUUCGGAGAAAGUAAAUAGUUUUGGUAUUCACUAUUUUACACCUUCGAUCUGAGAUCCCUUGGUAACGAGCCUCUAACCCUAUCUCCGUUAUUAACUUUCUAUUUUUGAUAUUUCUUGGAUCUCUUGGUCGAAACCAAAACCCUCUUGAAUCUACCUUUGUCUAGGAUUUCAUGAGAAAACCUUAGAAUCUAAGGGGACUAAAGUUAAUAGUUUUUUCAAGAUUACAUUAAGUUCUAUUUUUCGAAAGUUGCAUAUUCUGUGAGUUGGCUAUUUGUAGUUACAUGUUUCUCUGUCUGUAGUUUAUUGAAAAAUUGCUACACAUUAACAAUUUGUGUGUGUACAUCAUUUGAUAAGUUCUCCUCUGCAAGGUAUACUUAUAACUUUGUGUUGUUUUCUCACACUAUCAAAUUUCACAGUCACUCAGUUUAAAUAUGAGAAGUACAAAAGCUGAUAUUGAAAUUUGAAAUGGCUAAUGAGAUUCUAUUCUUUGGAGUCAAAAAAUUAAGGCUUUUUUAAUACAACAUAGAUGGGUUGAAGCCCUUGAUGAAUCUUAAGGUUGAGAAGUUACUAAUAAUAAAAAAAUGAACAAGGUGAAAUUGCAUGGAGCACAAUUUUCUUGCAUUUAUUUGACAGUGUUAUUAGAGAAGUAGGAAAGACUGAGGCCACUAUAGAAAUUUGGACUAAGCUUGAAUCUUUUUAUAGAACAAAGUCACUUCCCAAUAAUUGUUACUUAUGAAAAUAAUUUUUCAGUUUCAAGUUUGAUCCAAAUUGUGAUAUUGAAACAAAUCUUCACAGAUUUAAUAAACUCUCUCAAGAUCUCACCAAUAGCGGUGCGGCUCUUUCUAAUGAUCAACAAUAUGUAGCAUUUUUAUCAUCCUUACUUGAAAAAUACAAAGAAUUGAAAAAUGCCCUUGCAUGUAGAAGAACUUCCAUUACUGUUAAUAAAAAUCUCCAAUAUUGGAGUUGGUUACAAUGUUAAAGGAAAUAAUUCCUUUAAGAAAAAUAAUAAUAAUUUUUUAAAUAAAAACUUUAUGAAACUCAUUUUUAUUUUGGAAAUUCUUACAAUGGCAAAUUCAAGUUUAGUAAGAAUACUAAUAAGGCGAAAGGAAAGAAAUGUUACUUUAGUGGAAAGGUGGAUCAUUUUAUAAAAGACUAUGUUAAGAGAAUUGAAAAAUUGAAAAAUAUUAAUAAAAUUUAAGGUGGACUGCCAUAGCUUAUAAAAAAGUUGCAACCUCAAAUGGACAAGUCUAUAUGACUUGACAAUCCCAAAUUAAUGGUGAAUGGAUUCUUGAUUUAGGGUAUAAUUUUCAUGUGACACCCUAUAAAAAAUACUUUACUAAUUUUAUGGAAAUUAAUAAAGGACAAAUGAUAAUGGGAAAUUAUUUUUCUUACAAAAUUUAACCAAUUGGUAAUGUUGUCUUGAAACUAGAAAAUGAAAAUGUAAUGACCUUGAAUAAGAUCAAAUACAUUCCUAACUUAAAGAGAAACAUAUCUCUUUAGGUAUACUUUGAUGAUGAAGGUUUUGAUACAAUCGUAAAUAAAGGCAUUUUGAUACUCCAAAAGAAUUUUGCAAAAGUUACUUAUGUUGAAAAAUCAAAUGGGAUCCAUGUUUUGAAAGCUUCACAUUUACAGAAUCAACAUAUUGCUGCUACAAUUUCUCAAUCUGAUAAAUUUGAAAUUUGGCGCAAAAGACUUGGGACAUUAGUGAUUAGAAUUUAUAUAUUCUUAAGAAACAAGGCCUUUGAGGAAAUGAAAGAAUUGAAAGAAUGUCUUUCUGUGAACAUUGUAUCUAUAAGAAGCAAAGGAAUUUACCUUUUGCUACUGGUAUCCAUAAAUCAACGUCUAUUCUUGACUACUUACAUGAUGAUCUGUGGAGACCAACUGCUGUAAGUACUUACUGUGAUUUUAGAUAUUAUCUUCUUCAUCAUUGAUGAUUUUUCAAAGAAAAGCUGGGUCAUUCCCCUGAAAAACAAAUCAAAUACCUUCCAAAAUUUUACAACAUGGAAAACUCUGGUUGAAACCAAGUAAAUAAGAAUAUUAAAGCUCUUAGAAGUAAUAAUGGCCUUGAUUUUUGCAAUGAAGAAUUUGACAAUUUUUGUGAAGAUAGACAUAAGAUAGUCACCUAUACCCACAAUAGAAUGGGCUAGCAGAGAGGAUGAACGAGACCUUGUUAGAAAGAGGGAGAUGUAUGUUAAUAAGCCCAGUCUUCCAAAAUUGUUCUAGGAGAAGCUGUUCAAAUUAUCUCAUAUCUAAUAAACAAUUGCCUCACAAAAUCAUUGAAUUAUGAUACACUUGAUCAUGUUUGGAGUGGUCAUCAUAUGUACUGCAUAUGCACACCAAAAUGAAGGAAAACUUGAGCUCAGAUCUAUUAAAGGUACUUUCUUAGGAUAUGUUGAAGGAGUCAAAGGUUACAAAAUCUUGUUGAAGGAUCGGGGAGGCUAUAUAGUCGUAAUAAGUUGGAAUGUUAUCUUUAAUGAGAUGGACAUUCUCUAUACCAAAGAAAAAGGAACGUCUACCUUUGAAAUUGAUCAAAAUAGAUCUUUUACAUGAUUUGAAUCCUUUUUAGCUUAUUUGAAUCCUAGAAAUGAUGACUAGGUUGAUGUGGAGCCUAUCCAGGAACAAGAUACUGUUAUUGAACUAGAACCUAAACUUGCUAAUGAACCUAAAUUUGACCUGCCUACAAAUCCCUUAGAAGAUUACCAUCUAGCUAGGGAUAGAGUAAGAAGAAAAAUAAGACCACCAUCAAAAUACAAUCAACCUAAUUUUGUCACUUCAUUUAAUUUUUAGAAUAUUUUAGACAAUGAACCUAACUUUUAUGAAAAGACCACUGGAGGGAAAAAAAUGCAAGUUCUUGGCUUUUAGCUAUGAAAGACGAAAUGCUUUCACUAGCUAAGAAUAAGACUUGAGUCUUAAUCAAUAAACCAAAAGGAGAAAGGUCAUUGAUUGUAAAUGGGUAUAUAAGAUCAAAUAAGGUGAUUCAAAAAAUGAAAAUGUAAGGUUCAAGGCCAUAUUAGUUGCUACGGGUUUUAACCAAAGAGAGGUAACUGACUACAAUGAAAAUUUUCUCCUAUAGUCAAAUACACCUCUAUAGGAAUUCUACUUGCUCUUGUUUCAGAAUUUGAUUUUAAAUUAGAAAAAUUAGACGUGAAAACAACCUUAUUACAUAGAAAUUUGGAUGAUAUAAUUUACAUGGCUUAAGCACAAGGUUUUCGACAAAAAGGAAAAGAAAAUUUUGUGUGUCUUUUGCAAAAAUCAUGAGCUCCCAGGCAGUGGUAUAUCAGGUCUGAUUUUGUUCUUUUUAUAAAAGGACUUGUUUUCAAUAGAAGUGAAUAUGAUCCAUGUUUCUAUUAUAGAAGUAAUUGAAGUCUUGAUUUGUAUUAUCUUUUUCUAUAUGUUGAUGAUAUGUUACUUGCUGGUUGUGAUGUAAUUGAAAAAGAUAUUACUAAGCAAAAGUUAAAACAAGGAUUUGAAAAUGAAAAACUUACAUUCAACAAAAAUGAUUUUAGGAAUGGAGAUUAGAAGAGAUAGAACUAGCAGUAACCUGUUUCUUACACAGCAGUCGUAAAUUUCAAAAAUAAUAUACAGAUUUUCUAUGGAUAUAGCAAAAGAAGUUACUUUACCUCUUGGCAAUCACUUUAAAUUUUCUGCAUAACAAAACCCUAAAAUUGAAAUAGAAAAAGGUAGAAUGGAUAAAAUUUCGUAUGCAAAUGUUGUAGGAUCAAUUAUGUAUGUAAUGAUUUGUACCAAACUUGACAUUGCCUUUCUUGUUAGUGUCUUAAGUAGAUACAUGAGAAAUCUUGAGGAAUACUACUGGGAAGCUAUGAAAUGGUUGAUAAGAUACUUAAAAUGACCAUCUAACUUAAGGUUGAUGUUCCAUAGAGGUAAGACAAGAAUUAAACUUAAAGGUUUUGUUAACCUCUAAUCCACAAUAAAACCUAAAGAUGUCAAGCGAGGUGGAGAUUGUUAAGCAUUGUGCUUUACAUCUUUGGCCCAGUGAUGCAGCCCAAUCUUUGAGCCCUUAUGAAGGAAUGUCACUCGGUUAUCUCACAUUUGGUGCAUCCUUGUGUUUUGCUGAGCGUGAGUUUAGUGUACUAAGUAAAAGGUUGAGAUGAUGCCACCUAGAGUUUAGUGACUAUUUGCAUUAUAUCCUACUGACUCUUCAUUUGCUUCGGUGGUGUGAGAAAGUUCUAGUUUUUUUUUUAAUUGGUCUUUUUGUUUUUUCUAAAAAAAAAAACCUUUGAUUUUAUUCGUAAUCUAUUGUUUUUCUUUUUCUAGACGUUUUCGGUGAAAUUUAGGGUAGAUUACUGUAAGGUGAGGGUGAUUCUAUUCUUGAUUAAGCGGUAACCUUUGAUUACUUGGUGUAAUCUGUUAAGUGUAUUUUGAGAGAGAAAUUCUCUCUAAGGGCUAGAUCUAUUGGAUCUUUUGUGUUGUGAUUCUUGUACUGAUAAUCUUUGUUGGCUUAUAGUGGAUCUUUGUGUUGUGAUUCUUAUACUGAUAGUCUUUGUUGGGUUCUAGUGAAUUAGAGCGAUAACCAUUUUGGUGAAUGAUCAACGUGGUGAUUGGGCCUUUUGCUUGAACAUUUCAGCCUUAGGAUGAGAAAUUCUUGGUGUUCUUUAAAUUUCUGCUAUAAUUUUGGUUUUUUGGAACUAUUAAUACCAACACUUUCUUUAAUACUUAAUAAUGGAUUUUCCUUUGAUCGUUCUAUGGAUUAUUAUUGAUAGCAUUUGUAUCCAUCGUGACUUACAUUCACUAUGAAAAUAGCACUUCCAAGCCCUUGAAAAUCUAUCAAUGAAACUUUUACUGACGAAUAUUCCAACAGAAAUUCCUACUGUUGUGCUGCACACUCACUGAUUAAAAAUUGAAGACGCCAAAAUGGGAUGGCUUUUAAUAUAAUAUAAUUUCACCAUAGACCAAAUAUCACAUUUUCAGGUAAAGUCAUGUAUGCUAGUAGACGACAAUCAUGGAAGAACUAGUUUAAUCAUGUUUAAUUGGCUAAAAAAAUUGUACUUUAUUUACCUUUUUUGUAAGGAGACUGUAGCUUUGUGUUAGAUAUUAACAAAUCAAAGGCGCAAUAAAAACAAAAGUAAAAUGACCCCAACAUUCAAUGAUCGCAACAAAAGUAAAAAAGAAUUUAUAUUAUAGAUUAAUCUAUUCUCGUUUUUGGGGAACCAGGUGACCCGAACCACAUCCAACAUCUUGAAGAAGAGCCACAAUAUCUAAACAAAUUAAGUUCCUAUUUGGUUUAGAUAAAAAAAAUUAAAAUUUUAAUAGAUUUUAAUAAAAGUUGAGGAAAUAUGUUGGUGAAAAGUUAAUCAAGUUGUGGAUCUCGUGAAAUGGGUGGUUGAUAUGUGUUAGAAUUAGGUUGUGACCUAGAUUCUAUUUUGGAGGUAUAUUUGGAGUUGGCUGUUUGCUUCUGAAAAGUUUUGAAAAAGCAAAAGACUAUAAGGUGUUAAAACAAUAUUUUGGACACCUAUUUUAACUCAAAUACUUAGUUAUUGAUUUCACCUAUUGUAUUACACCUUUAUUUUAUAUUAGGCUCUUCAUGUAUUAAUUCUCCUAGUAUGUUAAGGAUUCUUUGAUUAUAAAUAUAUGGUGUACAACUCAUACUGAGAUUGAUCAAUUGUCUAACUUAUUAGUUUUGUCCAGUAAGAUCCCUUGUAAUCUUUACUUUUGAUAUAGUGAAUUUUCCACUUCCGUCCACUAUUUUUUAGUUUUGAAUUUCCACGUAAAUCUUAUGUUAUUGUGACUGUUAUUUUCAUCUUGCUAAUUAUCUCAUUUUUAAUGUUCAUAACAAUUUGUUCAAUUUUUAAUAAGUGGUAUCAGAGCCCAGUGUUUCGACAGUUCUUGGAAGAGUCGAUUUGGUCUUUUAUUAGAGCUUCUUUGUAGCAAAUUAAAAUGCAAGUAGUGCUCGCCCAAUUGGAUUUAGAUAAUACUUUGUUGGGGCUUAAUAGAAUGCCUGCAACUUUGAUGUUGGAGCAGUGGCAAAUCCAGUAUCAACGAUUAGCUAGGGUGAAGGUUGACUUUGACCGUUGAUCGUCAACAAUCAACGAUUGUAAAAGCCCGAUCCAGUCGGCGACCGAUCGUUUAUUAAAAUUAGAUUAAAUAAUAAUAAUUAUUAUUAUUCAAUAUAUAUGUAAAUGCACUAAAAUCUAGAAAUUAUAUACAUAUGAAAAUAUAGUUCAAUACAACCCAAAAUGCUAAAAAAUUAUACAAUUCAACCUUAAUCCGUAAUUGUAAACUUAGACAACUGAAUCUACGAGGUCGCAUAUUUUAAAAACGCUGCAAUAUUGUCUCAUUCUCAAGUUUUAUAAAGAGAUCUUUCUCCAUGUAAAUCACCAAAUCGUCAUUCAACAAUUCAUCUCCCAUUUUGUUGCACAGAUCAUUCUUGAUUAGAUUCAUAGCAGAGUAUACCCUUUCAACACUUGUAGUUACCAUAGGUAAUAUCAAAACCAAUGUGAUUAGCCUAUAAACCAAUGGAAAAUAACAAGAAUUUUCAGUUUCAACCAACCUCUGAGCUACACAAGAUAUGCUUUUGAGGUUGAAUAAAGCUUCAUCCAUUCUCAUGAGCAUAAGAAACUUGUCAAAUUGAUGUCUAAGUAAUAAAAGCUCUUCAUUAUUGAAAUCCAAAGGAUAUAAAUGAGCAAGUCGUAACAAUUUACAUACAUCAAAAGUUGCAAAUGAAUCUCUUGGACUUAAACACAAAAUGUAAGUAAAAAGCAUAGUAAUUGUUUAUGGAAAACGAUCAUUCAACUCUUGCAGGAUUGAAUCUAUCACAUAACAAUACAAAUCAAUGUAAAAGCGAUGAUAAUAAGUCACCUACUGAGUUUCACACCUAGGUCGACCUUUCAAUACUACAAUAUCAUCCAUAUUGGGCACUAAAAUAUGUCUAUCAACACAAAACUCAAUUACCUUACUCAACAAGGUAUCGUAACCAUUGUCUUUCAUGUUCUGCAAUGCGUACUUACACAACUUCAAUAACCUCAUAGCAUUCUGAAUAUUCUGAUCCUUUUUUUCUGUAAGGCUUGUGAAAGGUCGCAUGUAAUUGCUAGAAUUUCAAACAUAAAAUAGAGACUGAAUACAAAUUGAAAAUCUUGCAUAGUGUCUAUCUGUCUUACGACCUUUGAUUUUUGCUCUAAACUUAUGCUGUCUUCUGAUAUAUUCUUAAGAACAUCUAUGAUCGUAUUAAACAUACUAAUAAAGUGAGUAAUUAUCUUUAUAUGUGAGCCCCAUCUAGUAUCACUUGGGCCUGCCAAACUCAUUCCUUGAAACUGACCAAUUCCAUCGAAAGUUCCUCAAUAUUAACCCUCUCCAGAAUUUCAGAAUGAUAACUUGUUCGAAGAGCAUCUACACGUUUACAUGAUGCACCAACCAAAUUCAUAAUAAUAACAAACAUGUUAAAUAAAUCACUAAGCAUAACAUUCCUAUGUGCCAGAGAAAUAACUGCCAACUGAAGUUGGUGAGCACAGCAAUGAACAUACAUAGCACAUGGGUUCUCUCUUAAAUUAAAGCUUUGAAGCCAUUGAACUCACCUGAUAUAUUGCUUGUUCCAUAGUAACCUUGACCUUUCAGGCUAGAUAUGUUCAACCCAUGUGUAGAGAACAUUGCAUCAAUGGUAUCCUUGAGUGAUUGGGUACAAGUAUCAGCGAUGUGGGAAAUGCCCAACAAACGCUCCUUCACUUGCCCACUUUUGUCAACAAACCUCAAAACAACUGCCAUUUGUUCUUUUAUAGAAUUAUCACGAGACUCAUCAACCAAAAUUGAAAACAAAAAAUCAUCCAUCUCAUUGAUCAUAGACCUUGUCGUCUCUAUAGCACAACAAUUAACCAAAUCCUUAUGGAUGCUUGGUGAAGUCAUUUGAUCAUUUCCAAGAGCAUUACUAAAUAGUACUUCAUUAAUUUUCUUACGACGAGCUGCAUACCAAUUUAGUAGCUCAAUUAGAUUUCCUUUAUUAUGAGAUUCUUUCAAUUCAUCAUGACCACGAGAUGACAAUCCUUGCAUCAAGAGGAAUCUAGUACAGUCUAGCACCGCAGUCAACCUUGUCCUAUAAUUUUUUUGUUGACUACUAUUUUGGCUAGAAAUAACAUAGGAGAUACUUUAUUUUUUAUUCAUCAAAUUGGUACACUUUGCAAAAGUUUGAUUAUGAGUACUAUAAACGAGCCCGACAUGGUCUUUCAAUGUAUUUUUGUGCUUUCAAUCCCUAAAGCCGGUCUUAGUGAAUAUAUGUCCACCCCAUUGACCCCCUCUAUCAGGUUUGAACAAGUAGCAAUGCAAACAAUAAGACACUUCAUUUUCUAUACUGUACUCCAACCAAUAAAAUUCAGAUAACCAUUCUUUUCGAAAACACCUAUUAUCAUUUCCUAUCCGUCUUCUUGAAAAGUCAUGUCCAUGUGGUUGCCAAAGACCUUUUUCCAAAUAUACCAUCCUAACAUUAUCUCUGAUAUUAGGAUCAUAUGACUGGAUAGGGGGCAUUUUCCUGGAUCAGAUACAAGAUCAUCCACAUUGAAUUGAGCCCGAGACUUCUUAGUGCUGUUUAACAACUCGAGUGCUUGGCUAGAAAUAGUGGCGGGACUAGACGCACAACUAGAACUAUGAGAACUAGGAAUAGACUUUCGUUUCGGUUGAAAAAAUCGUUCCAUAAUCUACCAAAUGCCCUAACUUAAUUUUCAAUUACAAUUGAUUAAAAAAUCAACAAUUCAACAAAAAAAAUCCCCAAGAGUUAGAUACUAGUGUAUUAGAAAAAUCAAACACUAAAAAAUUAGUCAAAGCUGCUACAUCCAUAGUUGGUUGGUUGCCCAUUUAUGUCAAUUUGAAUACUCAAACAAGUCAAAAACAAAUAAAUGCUUGAAGUUGAAGUAUUAGAAGCAACAAAAUUAUUAUUUAUUAGAUACGACACAAAUGAAAGACUACCAAUUUUUCGCCCACCUUAAUACCAAAUACUGAAAUUAUGUAAAAUAGUCCAAAUUCGAUUUGUACAAGUAAACCAAAACCACUACCAUUCAACUGAGAAGUGAGAAUAUAGACUACGAAAAUUCAAUAAUUAACAAAAGAUUUUCAUCCAAACUUGGUCGCAAUUAGAAACUUAAUAAAGAGAUGACUUCACAUUUUCACUAAUUCUUAACAGUUAAUAGAAUAUAAGCAACUGUAAGUUCAUCAACUUUUCUAUCGAAAGCUUUACUCAAUUCAGUGGUGGAUCAAAAAAUGCAAGAGCAUCAGUUACAUACUUACAUGAGAAGCCGAGAAAGAAUUAGGGAAGAACCGGAACUCACAAAGGGUUUGCUAAUUGCUCUUGCCUAUUCUCUGAUCUCUCUGGGCUCUAGGCCUAUCGAUUUUGAUGGGAAGGAAACCGAAAAUGGGAUUCAUUCGGGAAAGGAAGCUUGCUGCUGCUGCGGGCCUGCUGGUUCUGGAGUACUGGUCCUCUCCGUCUGCGACUCUAUGAUCUGCUCUUUGCUAGCGAUAGUCAGGUAGUGGACUAAUGUUUAGGCCUUUAGGAAAUAAUCUUGUUAUAUUGAUUGGAGAAUGCUCAUUUGGGCUUUUUGGGCUUGAUUUAAAAAAAAUAGAGGCCCAAAAACAUAAAAUUUGAAAUUUGAAAUUGCCGACCCUACAGUGGCACAGCUAAGCCAAUAACCAACUAAAUAUCUAAAUCUAAAAACAAACCAGUCCACCGACAGUUCGCGAUUCUGGCGAAGCUAGCUAGGGCGGCCGCCCUAGCUGGCCAAUAGCUAUAUCCGCCACUACAUUGGAGGAGAAGCAGUGUAAGGAUCUAAAGGCUCUAUUUCAAACACAUCUUUAUCUUUCAAAUUAAAUUCUUCAGGACAUGGUAAAGGAGAAAACUACCUUUACAUUAUGGUUAAAAUUAGAGCAGUUAUGAAUGACUUAGAAUCUAACUAGCAAAUUGCAUCUAAAGUAGUGCUUGUAUUCGAAUAGCAUGAAAUAAGGUGAAUCUUUGGAAGAUCAUCUAUCUACAUUCAAGGACAUUGUCGUUGAUUUUGAGACCAUGGAAGUCAAGUACGAUAAAUAGGACUUAGUGUUGAUUUUUCUAUGUUCAUUACUCGCUUUAUAUAUGACAUUUAGGAGCACUAUCUUGUAUAACCGAGAUACUCUCACCAUUGACGAGGUUUAUGACUCGCUUUAUUCUAGAGAGAAGAUGAAGCAGCUAAUCAUUGGAUUGGAGUCCUAGAUAGUGGGUCUUGUUGUUCAUGAGAAGGAUUCAGAUGGUCAUAGAAGCGGCAAAUCCAAAGCUAAUGAUAGUGAUGCAGUCUGUCAUUACUGCCAAAAAAAUGUAUACAAGAAAAAAGACCAUCCAAAGUGGUAGGAUGUGAAUAAAUUAGUUACUACGGAUUAAAAUGGAAAGUCUGGUAAUUCUAGCUAAACUAGUCUCGUAGAAAAAGACUGUAGUGAUGGAAAUUUUCAGUGAUUUCUCAUUUUGAGUCCUAACUUGACGAAGAUUGAAUUCUUGAUCGGCUUUCAUCUUUCAUAUAUUUCCAAGUAGGGAUUGUUUUUCAAAAUAUGGAAGUGUUACAAAUGGUCCAUGGUGAUGAGAAAUAAAUCGUCUUGUAAGAUAGCUGGUAUUGGUAAGGUCAAAAUCUAAAUGUUUGACAGGAAGGUUAGGACACUUGGUAAAGUGAGACAUGUUCUUACUUUGAACAGAAAUAUUAUCUCCUUCAAUACUUUUGAUUCAAAAGGUUACAAAUAUACAGGUGGAUGUGCAGUUUUGAAAGUUAGCAAGGGUUUCAGAGUUGUGUUAAAGAGGUAAAGAAGGCCCUGGUUAUAUGUUUUAGAAGGUUGGACAAUCACUUUAAGUGUAGCUGUGGCUUGUAUUUCAAUAAGUUGUAAUUCGGAUGGAGUUGGUUGUGAUCCAAUUACUUGUGGUGAUAAUUCAACCAAAUUUGGUAUUAAAAAACUUGCCACUAGCUCAACUGGAGUUAUUUAUGAUAUUGGUGAUCGUUUUGUUCGGGGAAAUAAUUUGAGCAAAUCUGUUAACAUAGAUGGACUUGGUUGUGAACUUGAUGAUUUGCUGUUCCUGGUGAUUCGAACAAGUUUGGUGUCCAAGGUAAUUCUGCUAGUAAAUAGUGCUUGAAUUCAGAUCACAAUUGCUGAUAGACUUGGACAAAAAAAAAUCAAAAAAUUAAUCAAAUCGAACUGACUCGAGUCAUUUUGAAACAGCUAAUUGGUUUGGUUUGGUUUUCUUUUAAACAAAACUAUGGUGGGUUGAUUCGUCAUAGUUUGAAGUCUCAAACCGUUGGUUAACCGAACUAACUAAAUCUACUUUCACGUUUACUUUUUUUAAAGAAAAAUAAAAAUCAAAAGAUAAACCUUAAUUUCAUAACUAUAUCACGAUUCCCUCCAAUUUAUGAUGUUGCUGGUAAGUAAUAGUACUGAAUAUUUUUUUAUUUAUUUUUUCAUAAGCUCAUUAUGUUAUACUUAGGAUUUUUUUCUCCACUCAGGUAGUCAGGCUACAUAAUGCAUAAAAAGGCAAAAAAAAAACUUAAUUUUUCUGUUGAUCUAUUUCUAUUAACGUGAUUUUAUUUGUUAGUCAAGAAUUGUUGUAAUAUAAAGUUAUCCAGUUAUUUCAAUUCUUACAAUCUAAUUGAGCCCAAAACUUAGAUAAUUUUUUUUAAAUUCAAUUUGGACUAAAAGUCCAAACAAAACCAAACCAAAAUCAAUUCAAACUGAUUUGGUUCAGUUCGGUUCGAUCUAAGAUUUAGAGUGAGCUGGUUUGGGUUGAAAUUCAUCUAAAUCGACAAAUUUGGUUUUGGUUUCGGGUUGUAGUCGAAACCAACUCAAACCAAACUACGCCCAGGCUUAAUUGCUAAGUUUGCCCUAGUUAGGCUUUGUGGAAGAAGUAGAGUAAUUUGUUUAGCGUGUUAUGUUUGGAGAAUUUUUGGAGUUUGUUGAAAAGUUAAGUUUUAUUCAUUGCCAUGGAAUUCCUGUUAAGGUGGAGAUUAUUAGAAUUGGGUUGUCGAAUUCUAUUUUGGAGGUAUAUUUGGAGGUGUUUGUUUGCUUUGGAGAAGUUUUGAAGAAGUAGAAGACUUUAAGGAGUCCAACCAGCGUUUGAACAUCUAUUUCAACUCAAUUACUCUGUCAUUGAUUUUUCCUAUUGUAUUAGAGCUUCACUUUACGUUAGAUUCUUCAAGUAUUAGUUCUCCUAGUGUGUUACAAAUUCUUUGAUAAUAAAUAUAUGGUGCACAACACAUAUUGAGGUCGAUCAAUUGUCCCACUUAUUAGUUCGGUCCAGUAAAAUUUCUUGCAAUCUUUAUUUUUGAUAUAGUAAAUUCUUCAUUUUUGUCCGUAAUUUUUUCCAUUUUGAAUUUCCAUAUAAAUCUUGUGUUCUUGUGAUUGUCGUUUUCAUCUUGCUCGUUAUCUCAUCAUUAAUAUUCAUAGCAAUUGACUUAAUUUCUUACAAUAUGAGUUUGAAAAAUGAAUUUUGAAAAAUAAAGAUCAAACAUUGACUAAAUCUAUUGAUAAGGAGUUAAUAGUCUUGAAUCUUUGAACCAUAGUCAAGGCAUUACAUUCCAAUUUUAUCAUCCAUAGUUAUUGGGCUCUUACUAGAAGUACCUCUUAUGGAAAGCUAUGGCUUCAGCAUCUUCUCAAGGCAAGUUGUAAUCAAACACUAGGAAGGAGCAACAUCCAUCAAACCUGCAACAUUCUAUAACAUGUAGUGAAUUUUAGAAAAUUUUCAAUGAUUUUUAGUGAAACUCUAAAAAGAAUGAUAACUGCAAGAAUUGCCCUUGUAAUUUACAAAUGCAAUUAAGAUACUUAUUUUAAUUGUUACCAAGUCCCUGUAGAAAACUAUAUGCUGAGGUGAUCUUGUAGGAGGUUAUUUGGAUGGAUAAAAUGUAAUAUCUCUUUGUUUAAUGUUUUUAUUUACUUUUUGAGUAAAAUGAUAUCAAGAUUGUUGAAAUGAUCUCAAUAUAACAUUGAAACCUACCAUUUUUGUAGAGGAUGUCGACACCCAUAUGUUAAGACUUGGCUUCUCAGGUAGAAAUAAGCAUAAUUUAUUCUAGAUAUCUCUUAAUCUAGAUCGGCAAAUUGUUAAUGAAGUUGGCUUGACAGAUUUCAAAUGGCAUAUUAGAUGCUUGAAGAGACCUUUUCUUCAAUCUUGGUACUAAUUUUUCUCCACAUGUUCCGCAAUUGGUUCCGUUGUGUUGAUGACCACUCUUCUACUUUACCCAUGUAUCCCAUUUUUGGUAUUUUUAGUUUCAAUUGACCUCUAAGUUGAUUCUAGGAAGUAAUCUGCUAAUUAUUAAAAUAUGAUCAUUCAUAAAGGAAGAGAUAACAAGAAUAAAGGGAGAUGAUUGAGAAUACUUAGUUAUAAUAUUCAUAAUAUAAUAACAUCAUUGAAUAUAAUAUAAUAUCCCUACGAAUGCAUUGUUCUAUUUUAAUAUUAGGCUAAAUAUACAUGUUGAGGCUUCUGAUGGUCACUCUAGUGUCCAAGGAUUUGGCAUUGGGGUCCAAUAGUCAUAUAUGGUCAGUGUUGGAAGUCUCCUAGCAGCCCAGUAUACUAGGAAUGGUGUGUAAUGUGUUACAUGCAUAAUGGUUGGGAUUACUAUUAUGAGGGAUCAUGCUUUCACUUUUGUAGGUUCAUUAGCAAUAAAUGUGUCAACUAGUAAUAGAGAGUAUAGAUGUCUGAUGGUAUAUUGAUGAUAUGUACGCAGGUUGUGAAGAAUAUAACAUUUAGAGUAUGAGAGGUGAUGUGAUUAAAAUUUUGGAAUCCUCUAUCUGUUAGAAUCCUGAUUGAGUACAAUAAAAUAGUGACAUUCUAAUCAUCUCUAUUGGGUAGAGACACAUUAUCUACCUAGGUUAUCGAGUGAGCAUUGUUGACAAUAAGAAAAGAUAUGUGUUUUCUAGGUACGAGUUACGUGGAAUGGGAUAGGAUAAUUGAGAUGAGGCCUGUUAUUAGGUCAUUUAUGCAUUGAUUGUAUAUGUUGACCAUUUAUUUGAUUAACAUAUUGUUAAUUUGAUAUUCUUUGUAUGUUGAACAUGUUGAAAAGAUCUAUAUAUCAUCCUAUGGUAUGUAUUCAUCACAUAUUUUAUAACUAUAUGUUAUUAUAUGCUCUUGAUCGAUUACUAUAUUUCUGAUUAUACUGGGAUUCUUAACCUUUAUCCUUAGUGAGUACAUGGAGCAUGUAUGAUAUUUAUUUUAGGUCGAGACACAAAUAAGGUUUGUGAUUUUCAAUUUUAUUUGGUUACCUUAAGUAGGAAGUGUAAAUUUAUGUUAUUUGGUUGCAGGGUUAUUAGGUAUCAAGGUGGAGAUUUGUUAAGUUUUGAUACGUAAUAAAUCUUAGCAAUGAUGUUAAAAUGGGUUGGAUUAACUAUAUCAACACUAAAAUUGAUUAGCUCGACCAAAAACAAAUUAGAUCACUAGCAGCAGCUAUAAAUUUGUGUUGCUCGCAGUCCAUUCACUAGUUGGAUGGCUCUUUUUUAGUAAUUAAGAGUGUGUUAUGUCUAGACGCAAUUUGUUUAUAGUCUAAUUAAAGUUUUGGCCCAACCUUAUGCCUUGACCAAAAACUAUAUAUAUAGCCUCUUCUUGUGGAGUGAACCAUGGAAUUACAAUUUAAUUGUGAGAGAAGAAGGUAGCCGUUCUUGGUGAGUGUUGAACCAGUGCUUCAUUCAUUCUCUCUUCAUGUGAGGUUCAUUGCAUCCAUCAUAUUAUCCUUUGUGGGUAAUGUUUACAAGAAGGCAACCAUAGUGAAAAGUUUGGAUUUGGGUUGAGCCAUCAAAAUAGUUGAUCUAUGAUUCAAUUAUUGUUUUGAAAUUGAGCUCAAUUGCAUGAUUUGAAGUCCUUGGUAUCCAUGACAAAUGGUAUCAGAGCAUAGAGAUGUGUAAGAUCUAGGGCAGAAACUAACAAAGAACUAAUUUGUGCAAUAGAAGAAGCAGAAAUUGUGAAAAAUCAAUUGAAAAUCAAACCAACCGGUGGUUUCAAUCCCAAUUUUCAGCCAAACAAGUUGUCGUCUGUGUGAACAGAGGUCAUUGCCUAACUCUGGAUCAUGAGACGCACCUUGUGAGAUGAUGUUUGAAGCUCUAAACUGCGAUAGUGGACACUUAUAGCGAUACUUCUUCAAGAUAGAUUUCUGCCAUGAUACUGUAGACGUUGUAGUGAUUUUCAUUUUCUAUUUUAGGUAAUAUCUUGGUUCAAACCAAUUUACCCUUGACUGUUCAGGUUUCAAAUUUUGCUUGAUUUGUUGGUGCACUUGCUAGAAGUUUUAGGGCAAAUAGUUAUGGCCAUAUGGGAGUAAAUUUGGUUCUCUCCCUAUUUACGGACUUGCAUAUUUGGUCAACUUGCUAAAUUGGCUUAUCGCUUCUAAAUUUUCAUGCUAGUAGGCUGUCAUGUGGGUUGAUAAUUAGUUUUAUUAUAACCUGAACCAUUACUAGUUACUAGAAUUUAGGAAUUCUUUGUCUUACUUGAAUUGUUAAGUUUUUUAUGAAUGAAGCAAGAUAAUCGUAAGAUGAAAUAAAUCAAUCACAAACAUGAACACCAAGAUUUUACGUAAAAAAAAAAAGGGACCAAAAAAAAAAAAAAAAAACAUAGGCAAAAGAGGAGAAUUCACUAUAUUAAAAUCAAGAUCAAUGAUUAUUGAUAUAUUCUCAACCAAAUCUAAUGUGUUUUUAAUGUUGUGAAGAGGCUAUAAGAUGUAGAAUAUAUAUAGGGCCACAAUUCUAUUGUUUUAGCUAUGUCUUGUUUUCCAAAUCACUCUGAAUGAUGCCUAGGCAACCUAGUAUGGCGCUUAGGCGCACCAUCUCUGUCGAAAACAUGUGAAAUCCAUAUUUUGACCUUUUCAAGGACUCUUCAACCAAAACACUAAUUCCUAAUGAAAAUUUGAGUUACAAUUCAACAAAUCUUCACCUCAACACAAAUUCUAAAGUAAGUAAUUACUUUUUACUCUUCAACAAGCGAUUCUCCACCUCUUCCAUAAGUCUCUAAGGGUUAGUUCAGCAACAAAUACUAACCAAGUCUAAGCAAUGCUCAAAUUUAGCAACAUAAAGUGUGUUGUUUGUCAACAUAUAAGCGAUGUUCUCUUUUUUAUGAACCUUGCUCAUUACAAUAUCACCACAAGUAAUCACAUCACGUAUAAAGGGAUAUCUCAAAUCAAUGUGCUUUGUCCUCUCAUGAAACAUCUAAUCCUUUGAAAGAAAUAGCACUCUAAUUAUCACAAUAAAUUAUAAACAUAUGCAAAUUUUCAUUAAUUUCACCAAAUAAUUCCGUCGACUACAUAGCUUUCUUAGAAGCCUUUGUACUAGCCAUGUACUCUGCUUCAGUAGAUAAUGCCACUGUAUUCUAUAAUAUAGCCUUCCAGUUAAUAGUACAAUCCUAAUUGUAAAUGCAUAUAAUGUAAGUGAUCUCCUAUUAUUAAGAUCUCCUGCAUAAUUUGAAUCGACAUACCUAAUGAUUUUAUCUGUAUUUCUCCUAAAAUUCAGUGGAACUCGUGAUAUGUAAUCAAUGUUUUCAUCUGACUAUGGACACAAAGUAGAUGACAAUUUAAAAUGGGCAUCUAAAGGAGUGUUUAUAGUCUUUGCUCUCAUCAUAUUAAACUUUUGAAAUAUUUUCUCAAUGUACCUUUUCUAGCUUUAGCAUAAUUUGGGAGCCUUUACAUCCCUCAAGAUCUUCAUUCUAAGAAUUUUCUUUGAUUCUUCCAAAUCUUUCAUAUCAAACUCUUAAUUCAGUUGAACAUUCACUUUCAUUACUUCUUCUCAA
rnacentral:lncRNA from 1 species